AUUGAACGCUGGCGGCAGGCCUAACACAUGCAAGUCGAGCGGAUGAGGGGAGCUUGCUCUCUGAUUCAGCGGCGGACGGGUGAGUAAUGCCUAGGAAUCUGCCUGGUAGUGGGGGACAACGUUUCGAAAGGAACGCUAAUACCGCAUACGUCCUACGGGAGAAAGUGGGGGAUCUUCGGACCUCACGCUAUCAGAUGAGCCUAGGUACGAUUAGCUAGUUGGUGAGGUAAAGGCUCACCAAGGCGACGAUCGUUAACUGGUCUGAGAGGAUGAUCAGUCACACUGGAACUGAGACACGGUCCAGACUCCUACGGGAGGCAGCAGUGGGGAAUAUUGGACAAUGGGCGAAAGCCUGAUCCAGCCAUGCCGCGUGUGUGAAGAAGGUCCUCGGAUUGUAAAGC
rnacentral:rRNA from 1 species